rnacentral:tRNA from 1 species
UAUGGUUCAAAUGGUAGAGCAUGAGCCUACCAAGCACAGUACCCUGGGUUUAAAUCCCAGUA